rnacentral:lncRNA from 1 species
GCAACAUCAUAGGCUUCUAAGCACUUAGUGCAAGCUACCAGUCCUACGAGUGAUCCAUGGCACGUUUCACACCUUGUAACGCUCAAGUGCUACUGCCAACACACUCUCUCGGCUGAGCCACUAUCCACACUCUACGAACAACUAAACUCAAGUGUCCUACACUAUCGCGUCUCUCACUAGAUAUCACGCGCUAGGCAACUUAGGCUACGCCUAUAAUACGUAAGCACAAAUUCCCUCAACUUAUUUGUGGUACAGCUCGACUAACUCGUUACAACCAGGCGAUCAUCUAACCAUUCUACAACAACGACGCUAUUACCACAACUCGAUCUAUCAGAAUAUCAUCCGAAUUCUCGAGCUCCAGAGCGUCUUCCAACGUUCUAAUUUAAUUCUCACUAUCACCCGAAUGCUUUAAAGAGCAAGUUCACCAUUUCUAUCCUUAUCCCGAGCCCUAACAGUGGCUCACUACAACUACUUACUAGCACUAUCCAUUCGCCUAUUCAAACGAUAGGCGAUACACUUUCUUCGUCUAUUCACGCUAGGGUAUUAUAUCUCCCCAAAUCUAAGUCUCUAUCACAUUCUUGCAUGUAUCGCUCGGAGUUCGCAUUGUUUCUAAGUAUACAAUCUUCCUACUGAAGUCAAUUUACUACCACUUCACUUAUCCAAUAAUACACGCGGCCUCGCCGGGUGAAAGUUACCACCACCAUUCCUCUCGAAAAAGGUCAACCAAAAGACCUUUCCGAAUUUCAAAAUCGCGACUGUACUUCUCUUCCGGGUGUCGCUUAACACUCAAUUUACCACCUGAACCAUUCCUCAGUCGCUCGUCUUCGAUUCCCAAGUAAUCAGUUCGCGCUUCUUCUGUGUGUAAUACCACCCGACUUCAACAACAAGUUCCAAUCCAAUACUUCGUCAGAAGUUUGUGAACUAAGAGGAUAUACAACUCCAACAAUCCUUCUAUCGCAGUUUCCACACAUCCUAAUCAACUUGGUCUCCAACGUUUCAAAACGUAUACUAAACACCCUUCAGCAUGCAGAAAAUCUCUCUACAGACUUCUUCACUGAGUAGUCACCCUGCUAUAGCCCCCACAACUUAUCUGGAAGCUCACUUGUCAUUUAUUCCAAUAACAACUCUAUAUCAUGUCCCCGAUACACAAAUCCUUCUAGGGAAAAAUUUUCCUGAAGCCCAACCACAGAUCUCGACCCGCGAAUAUUCCUUUAUCAAAAACAGAUGGACUAAACUUUCCUGAAGGCCACAAGGGUUAUCCACCAUUGCCCUCAUCUGCUUUCUAUACUGCAAAGUCAGAAAUCAAUUUACCCAAUUCCAACAAAACGACCUCUAUCAUCACUUCCAGCUACCCACAACCAACCACAAAUGGCGCGGUUAUCAACUGCUCCACGGCCUUCUGAUGUCCACUGACUCCAUCCACCAAGUACAAUACAGCCUCCCGCUGACAUUAUACUACAACUAUUUAUUGCCACAACCCUACCACGGGCGUGACUAACCGACCCCAAAGCUUCAAGCUUCCUUCAAGCUCGGUUAGUUCAAGGAUUCUAUUCAUCCCGAACCACAUCGAUCUCAUUAGAGAUCAACUAAUCAAGACCACUAAACGGGCAACAACACGACCGACUCUUGACCUUCAAGGUCAAACACGAAACAACUAUCGUCAACCCAACUAAAAUCAGGCGAAAGUUAUACAAGGAAGACUAUUAUCAUCACUCGGUUUCAUGUUCUGUGCACCCAACAUGAACACUCCUUACUGAGAAUACACUACACCUUGGAUCCACCUCUAAGAUCCUUUUUAGAGGUAUACAACACAUGACCCAAUUGGUUACCUUUCGCCGCAUACCAAGAUUCUCGUCUCUCACGAACCUAGAUCCUUAUGGUUUUCCAUCCUAAGGUCCCUAGGUCCAUCCUAUACUUUCACUUGCCUCGCUCUGAUACCAUUUAAUCUGUCACGCCCCGAGCCCACCAAUUUGGCCAGUUCGGGCCCGUACACAGACGCCGAACGAACAGAACCUUCUCUGUUCGCCCAUGGCUCAACAACAACAACAAACACGUAUAAAGAAAUGCCCAAGAAAAAUUUUAAUAUACAUGGCUUGCACGAGGGCAAGCAACACAAGCAAGUGAAAAUAAACUAACUAAAGCAUUCAUACAUUGUAUCUUGAUUACUUUAAAUCAAAUACAAAGCUUGUAUAAUUAUUACAUUCAUUCUUCCAAUAUAUACAUUACCAUCUCUCAAAUGAAUAAUUUAUAUUUACUUUCAUCAACUAUAAACAAAUGAAAUAAAUAAAGUACAACUAUACUCAAUGGAUGUCGCAUCUAUAGCGCGCUGUUCCUGUCACGAUCCUCGACCACUCCGCAUGAACUAGAACCUGCAUGGUUAGUGGGGUAAGAACUACUGAAAGUUCCCAGUAGGUUCGGCCGACGACCUCGCCGACUCACCCACUAGGUCUUUUCAGGCAUAUGUAGGCAAGAAAAAGAAUAGAUAGUAACCAGCUAUAACAUAUAACUACUACAAUGCCUAUACAAAGCUGAAAGAAACAGUAGAUAAUAUCUGAAUUGAUGCAUGCAUGUUUUUCAUAAUUAUUACCCAAUUAAACGGGUUAACCAUUUGGUUAACAAUAACUCACCGACGAAAUCCCAAGUAUCGGGGAGACGCAAGCUACAUCCCCACGGGACUGUCUACUGGGGGAUACGCUAGCUCCUAAUCCAGUUGAGAUGACUACUCCGGAGCUCAUCGCUCAAGGAGAAGCGACCUUCCUUGAGCAUAAGACUAUUGUGAGUAUGAUCUGAUCCUCUUUUAGAGGGUCCAAUGCAUGACAAUGCCACACUUUACUCUAACUAGCUCUUUAUGCUAGUUUUACAAUUUCACUCCCGAUGCUAACCAAAUCUCUAGUCAUGAUGUCACCAAAUUUACUAUUGUCAUAGUCCUCAAUAAAAUUCACACAUUCAUAGGGUUCUACGUUCAUGUUCUAGUGCCCAUAUGUUCUUUACACUGACGGAAUUCAAUUGCAUAAUGACCCUUUCCCUAUAAUGCAUGAAUAUGAUACAAUUCACAUAUAUAGAGAUACUCAACGAGAUGACAUAGACAUAAAGAGAGAUUCAAAGAUUUCGGAUAGCACCACCCACCUGUAGGGAUACCGAAACGUUAGAACCAAUAUCUCGAAGCUCACAAGUAUCAAGUCCUCGUGACUCGAUGUGAAUAAAGCUAGAACGACGUCUAUUGUAGUUAGCGCACCGUAGAUUCGUCGGAAUGUCGAUUUGAACUUCCGAGCAUGUCUAACCUUCAUUUAUAAAGGAACAAAAGGGAUUAAAUGUAAGUCACAUUCACAUCCUUAUAAACUUUGCAUUUCGACUCCAACUUGUCCAUAUAGGAGCUUUGUAUGUAUAAGGUUGGUUAUAUAAGCUCAUGAUACUUAGAAGUCCUCUACUUAACAUUUCCUUACAGCAAUUAACUCUAUUCUACUUCACAAAUUCAGAUUAACUUAUUCCAACUUUCAUUCCCAACUAUCCACUAUAUGUACAUACAUACAUAGAGCUAGUUCUAUCAGUUCUCUAUGAUGCUUAGAAUUUCAGCUCACAACAAUCCUUUAUCAACUCCUUAACACAGCAGGGAACAUCAUUUAAACCAGGGAAUUGAAUCAAUUCAUCCCUGAUUUCACUAUUAAUUACAGCUUAUAUACAUACUAUUCAUAAACAUAUAGAUAGAUAUAUGCAUAUACAUAUAAGCUGCCAGCAACAAUUCCCUUAAGCCUUUUCAUGGUAUUAAGAGCCCUAAUAUUUAAACUUGCAAUUUAGGCCUCUUUAGAAGGUGAUUACACAGUAUUCAGGACCUCUAAUUCAAGCUUCCUUUUGAUAAAUAAUUACUCUAACUCAUCAUAGAAUUAGCACUUAAGUUUCACAUGCUAUCAACUUAGCAUGGUUUGUAGAUUCUCAUGGCACUUGAGAGCUUUAACAAUCCAAAUUAGUGAUUCAAAUCCUUCCCUAGGUUGAAUACAAUAAUACUAAACAGGAAUUAGGACUGUCCUAUCCCUGGUUUCCAUUUUGAAUAAAUAGGUCACUUACAUACGAUUCAUCAGUGUAUAUAUAUAUAGAUAUAUAUAUAUAUACAUGCUGCCACAACUUUCCCUAAGCUUUUCUAUGGUAUUUAUGGUAUUAGGAAUCCUAAUACUUAAAAUCUGUGAUUCCAAUCCUUAGAAGGUACUUGCACAAACCCCUCCAAACCAGGAAUUAACUUCCCUACACAUCAAUUUCAGUUUUUAACAGCAACUUACACUUACAUACUCGUAACAUGUUAUCUUUAGCAUAAUUCUUAAAUUUCACACCUACUAAUACAACUUUUAACCUCUUAGAGACUUCUCAUAGAGUAGCUAGACCAAAUCCUGGCUGAGGAACAGCUCCUUACCUCAGGUUUCGAAGCUUUCAUAGCAGCGUUUCCAAUUCGGCAGCUCCACCAAGCCCAAAACGCAAGCUGCCAACUUCUUCUUCAACCAAACCUCCACCAGCCUAGAGAGAGAAAGAGGAGGAAAGAAACGAAAAGAAAGAAGAGAGAGA